CCUGGCUUCCUGCUUUACCAACCACUUUAACAAAUUGGGAACAUAGCUAAAGAGCUAAGAUUGAAAUGCCACAAGUUACUCGGUUGUAGAGAGGAAUUAUUGAGAAGCUUGCAACUCCUGGAAAAAUUGACAAGACAAGGCUAUCGGUAAUAUAGCAAAUGAACGGGGCAACCAGAUAGGCUGCAGAGUGCUGGAGAAGUGUUUACUGGAAAGUAACAUGAAUUCACCUCUUCUGGCCACUUCACAAU